UCGAAAAAUUCACAAAAAAUAACAGCAGCUCGAACGUGCUCUUUACUUUGUGUCUUUAACUUUAUCUGUAGGUGUGUAAUGGCGUUUGUUGGUUUUUUUUACUUGACCUCACGAAAUAUAUACCUAAAUAAAACGGUGAUUUUAAAGCCCCGAUAUUGACGGUAUUUACCUACCAAAUACUAGUACUGCUGAUUCUGUAGACCCAGUAUUCGGACUGAUUGUUACAUGGUUAUGUGUGUUAAUAUACAUAAUGUUAAUAUAAAUAAUGUUUUUGAGCAACAAGUGGCCCUCCAUUAUCAUUUUAUUAAAGUCCUAUUAAAAUUGACCCAACAUUUACAAAGACUGUUCCAGAUAUACAAACAAGUAAUAUAAAUUAAUAAAACAGUUAUUUUGAACUUACAGACAAACACUACGGUUAUUUAUAAAGGUUUUGAUGACACGUAUCAUCAAUAAUAUUCAAGUACAAAUAUAAUAUAAUUAAGUAGUAAAUUGUUGCUACAUGACCGAGUAUAUAAGGAAAAAACAACAUUUUAACUCAAUCAUUGUGCAACAUUCAACGUACCAUUUAACUCGUAUUUGUGUUAGUAACAAUACAAGGACGUCAUGCAAAAACUGACGUUGUUAACUUUAUUUGUGGUGGCUGUAAUGGCUCAAGCAGAAGACAAGAAACCCCAAUACGAUUUGACAGAUGGACCAGCUCUGUUUGCAAAGUUUAUCAAGGAUUUCAACAAGGUAUACGAGGAUGAAGCCGACAAAGAGGUCCACUACCAAGAGUUUCUCAAAUCAUUAGAGGUCAUAAACAAAGCGAAUGCUGCAAACUCCGGUGCAACGUUCGAUAUCAAUGCACUUGCUGAUUAUACUCCCGAGCAGAGGAAGAAUUUACACGGAUUUAGGCGAAAUGAAUAGGAAAAAUAGCUUAAGUAUCUAGGGUAAAAGUGUUUUUAAGUAUAAUAAAUUAUUAAAACAAU